rnacentral:rRNA from 1 species
UGGGGAAUAUUGCACAAAGGGCGCAAGCCUGAUGCAGCAAUGCCGCGUGUAUGAAGAAGGCCUUCGGGUUGUAAAGUACUUUCAGCGAGGAGGAAGGAGUUGUGGUUAAUAACCGCAACGAUUGACGUUACUCGCAGAAGAAGCACCGGCUAACUCCGUGCCAGCAGCCGCGGUAAUACGGAGGGUGCAAGCGUUAAUCGGAAUUACUGGGCGUAAAGCGCACGCAGGCGGUCUGUCAAGUCGGAUGUGAAAUCCCCGGGCUCAACCUGGGAACUGCAUCCGAAACUGGCAGGCUAGAGUCUUGUAGAGGGGGGUAGAAUUCCAGGUGUAGCGGUGAAAUGCGUAGAGAUCUGGAGGAAUACCGGUGGCGAAGGCGGCCCCCUGGACAAAGACUGACGCUCAGGUGCGAAAGCGUGGGGAGCAAACA